rnacentral:lncRNA from 1 species
ACAAACAUUACAAAUUACAAAUGAAGUGUUGCAUCAUGUCAGCAACUUCCCAAACAUCACCUCUUCGAGUCUAACUACAUCAACAAUAAAGACAUAAGAAAGGAGGAGAAUCAUAGUCUAGAUACUCUAAAAAUAAGAUAAACAAACAUAAGCAAAAGAACCUCCAAAGAGUAGGGGAAAUGGAGAUUUAAAUCAAUAUACUAAUCGACAUUCCUUCCUUUAUUUUUACGCCAUUGAGUUUUGGUCCAAGGUCUAUCAGAAUAGAUAUUGUAAGUUACGUUGAUAAAAAAGUAGUAUGAUAAGCAAGCACAAAUCAAUUGUAACAACAACCAUACUUGUCAAUUUAUGUUAUAAGCUCAAAUUGCUUAGCAAAAAUCUUAGUACUUGGUCUAGAGAAGUUG